UCAGGUGUUUGGUUCCUUACUUAUAUAAAACAGCGGUGAUCUUGGGUUCAAACAGGCUCAAUAAAAUGUAAAAAUGCCAGCAGUCAUUGAGCCUUUGAGCUCUGUGGCCUUCUGUCUGUCUGUCUGUCCCUCCUCAUGUCCUCACUUCUCUUUCUUUAUCUCCACAGCCUGCACUCAUGUGGUCUCACCUCUGGAUGUUCCUCAUCUCUCUCUUCAGUCCUCUCUUCUCCACACUCACAGCUGACUGAACUGGACCUGACUACAACAAACUGGGAGAUUCAGGAGCUCGUCAGCUGUGUGAGGGUCUGCGGACCCCAAACUGUAAAUUAAGACACUGAGGCUGGCUGGUAAUAAGAUCAAUGAGAGUGAGAAGAUGAACCUGAGGUCACUACAGGAGGAACUGAACAGGACUGGACGGCAGGUGGAUAUCCACAUAGAAGAAGAUUGGACAUGCUGAACCCCUAUGACGAUGCCCCCUGUCCAUUCCCUCUAAAUUCUUCUCUUUAUUCUUUUAUAAUCUCCUCAGCUCUCCUCCACAUUUAAUAAACUCGUCAUGUCCUUCUCA